GCCCGGAUAGCUCAGUCGGUAGAGCGUGAGGCUUUUAAAAACCUUAAGGCCGUGGGUUCGAGCCCCACUCCGGGC